UCUCGAUUGGUCUAGUGGUCAGGAUACCUGCUUGUCAAUCCGUCAAACUACAUUAGUCUUCACAAUAGUGAGACUUAGACGUUCGUGGAACAAGCCGCAGGUGGCCGGGGUUCGAUUCCCCGAUCGAGAG